UUGUACAGACUUAGACAAACUUGUCGACAUCUGUUUGGAAUCUGGUGCUCUGGGGUCACGCCUGACUGGUGCCGGUUGGGGAGGCUGUGCGGUUUCCAUGGUACCCAUGGAUCAGGUGGAACAAUUCAUAUCAAAGGUCAAGGAAAAGUACUAUGCAGUUGAACCUUCCAGGGCUGCUAAGGUGUCGUUUGCUGUAUUUGCCACACAACCUGGAGGAGGGGCUGCCAUUUAUAAAAUGUAAAUUGGUGACGAUGUACACAUGAUAAAAAUCAAGUUUCCGAAUGAAUGUUUUUAUGAUGUUAUGACAUAAAGGUUUCAUGACUGCAAAUAUUAUAUAUCAAAAAUGCACAGCUCACUUUAUACAUUCUCUUUGUAUGUAUAAGACGUGAAUGUGUUGUGAUCAUUGUAUAUCUAAAUUGAUUUUAAUCUCUAUAUAUACAUAUGUAAUUGAAAAGUUUAAAUUGUAUAAAUUAUACUUUAACAUUAGAUAGUAUGAAGUCGAUCAGUGGGGUUUCAUGUUUAAUGAUUUUGAAUGGCUAUGGGUAGUGCACAUUUAAGGAUGGGAGAGAUCUUCAGCUUUUAAUUAUCUAAUAACAGUUGUCAGGAAAGUCACAGGCAAAUUCUUCAUCAAAUUGUGAUUCAUCAGAUCAUCUUUUGUGAUCUUCCAUAAAGGCCACGUAAAUAUAGCAAAAUCCCGUCUAUAAAGACCACCCCAUAUACACAAUGAUUGUAUAUAAACCUGAUAGCUAGAUCACCUGCAUUAAAGACCUUUUAUCCCUGCUCCCUGUGGUGACUGUUAUAGAGGUUUGAUAGUAUAUUGAAUAAACUGCUAUGUUAUAUUUCUUACUCGUGAGGAUAGCCAUGUCUAGGGGUUUGAGGCCCUGGGUUCAAUUCCAGGUCAGGUCGUUGCAUUUUCCGUCUCCAAUCAUCCGUGAAUAAAUGUCUCCUAUAAUGUCCCCUGAUUAAACAAGUUGUAGAUUAUGUUCAAAAAGAAUAUAAGAAAAUUUCAUGUGACAAGAAUGUUUACAAAUCAUCCAGUAGAUAAGGGAAGAAAACAGAUCAAGAAAGAAAGGAAAAGAAACUUCUAUAGUGCUAAUAAAAAGGUGAUGGAAGCAAAGAUCCCUCUGGAAUUUCAUUUACUAAUGAUUAUAAUGAAAACUUAUUUCAUCAGUGCCAAAUUGUUACUUUCUCUUUUCUGUGCAAUAUUUAUAACUUUAUACUAGUCAUACAAUGUAUGCCUUAGUUCAUACUCUGGAUCCGAGACGAUAAGCCUGUAUAUACAAGUUUCUGGUUAAUCAAGAUAUAUAAUUAGAUUUGCAUACUCGCCUGUAUAUACAAGUUUCUGGUUAAUCAAAUAUAUAAUUAGAUUUGCAUACUCGAUUUCCCACAGUUUAUACACAAGUUUCUGGUUAAACAUGAUACCUAAGAUUUGCAUUCUAUGAUUUACUUUCAGUUGUGAAAAGAUAUAAAUAUGUGUAAUUGUUUUAAUUUGUUGGAGGUGCCAUAUUGAUUACAUGUAAGGGAUUUCAUUGUAAUGAGUGAAGAGGAAGAGGUUACAAUAGAUAUUCUAGCUUUAGUCAAAAACUCGCAGCUUAAAUUCAGGAAACUGCUGACCUGGUUGAGGGAUUUCCAUUCAGUUUCCAUACAUCCUCUGUUAAUUACUUUUAAGUCAGAACAUACUUUUUUUGCCUGGCCACCAAUAUAAUACAAUUCAUGAUGCGAAUUAUAUUUAUACAUAAUACCUCAGGUUUUUGACACAAAACCCCAAAAGACUGGGAAUGUGUGCUUAAGUCCCUGUGUGUUACAUUAUUUUGUUGAUCAACAAGGCAUAUUUAAUUUGUUAUGACAAGUAUUUGGGACCAAGGUUUGUGAUUUUGUAUAUGAGAAAAUGAUACUUGCACUGUAAAUUGUUUUGACAGAAUAUUAAAACACAAUUGAUAGAUGA